rnacentral:tRNA from 1 species
UCGCCAGGUGGUCGAGGAACGCCAUGGCGGCCGCCUCGCCACCGGUCGUGGUCGCGUUGGCGUGCGUGAACCCGAGGAUCCGCACCGCGCCGGUGAC